rnacentral:lncRNA from 1 species
AAAAUUUAUUUCGUACACACGAAAUGAAUUUUGAUCUAACGAAAUGGCACCCCAAGUGUUCAAAGGAAAAUUCUGUAGGAAAAUUUGUGUUUCACUCCAACGAAAUUCAUUUCGUCAUGAUGCAGUGUGAUUUCGUAUACGAAAUUUAUUUUGUGUCACACUUAUAAUCAAUUUCGUCGAGACGGAAUAAAAUUGCGUCCUCAAAAUUCAUUUCGUUGCGAUGCGAAUAUCUAUUCCGUCGAUGAAAUGAUUUUGUGUCACAUCACAAAAAAUUCUGUCGACGAAAUGAUUUUGUGUCACAUCACAAAAAAUUCCGUCCAUGUAAAAUAAUUCUGUCUCCUCUUUCUGGCAGGGUAUAUGAGAUCGUCGCUGAUUGGCUGCACCUUGCUCAAGCCGAUCUUCGAUCGAUCGAUAUCCGGCCGCGGGACGGUCACACUCACAGGUCGGCAUGUUGGUGAACCUUUCCUGUUUAGCUUAGAUUUCACGUUAUCAUGGUUAUUCAUGCCAACAAGAGCUGCAAACAACUUCUCUAAUUAGUAGAAUGUGGACGGACAUUGCAUUCAUUCCCAUUCAGCCAUUGGACUGAACCGGUACCAAGACCGGAACUGUAACACAGUAAGGAUGGUCAAUAUGAAGCGAGCUUCAUUGAAUUUCUCCAAGAGCUCUGUACUCUGUUCUGAUCAUUUUGAAGAUGCUUGCUUUGACCUGGGCAGACGAUACGUCUUAAACAGGAUGCUGUCCCAACCAUAUUUGAUUUCCCGCCUCGUCUUCAGAAGAAUUCACCCAAACCAAGGUAUUUCCCAAAAGACUUUUCGAUUCAGCAAACAACCUCCCAGAUACUGCAAAGACACCAGUGCCAAAGUCUUCAGCACCUUAAUUUCUCGAAGACCACUCCUACUGAAUACCAGAAAGUCCAAGAGGGGUAAAGUGGAAGUCAACAACAAUAAUGGACUGUAUUAAAACUUGGAGAAGAGGCUGAAAACCACACAGAAGUCCUACCUUAUACAUUACUUGCUUUUAAGUUUGGACAAACAUUGAUUUGCACAACUUUACAACAAAAAAUUUACGCUGUGUGGAUUCUGAUUAUUUAAAAUAGCUCAAUGAAAACGUUUAUCACUGGGCAUGUAACAAAAAUGAAUUCAUUGAAUUUGAAGAUGUCUUACAGUAUAUUCAUUCUGAUUUGAAUGUCAGAAGAGAAAAAAGUUUGUGAAAAGUAGGAAUGACGGCAAGCUGACAGAAGAAUAGAAUACAUGUAGGAUAGAACAAGGCCACAGUUAUAAAUGAGCUGUUGGAUAGAGACAAAAAGAUGAAUUAAGAAUGGGGGUGAUAGAGAAAUAGAGACAGGAAUUGGGGAGCCUGUGAUGAAUGCCUGAGAAAGUAAAAAUUACCAUAUUUUAUUUUUUUAAGGAUUUGAACAGUC